rnacentral:lncRNA from 1 species
UGCAUUCCCAGAACAUCAGAAUGCUGUUCUCAGCUAGUAGUCAAAUUCUUUAAGACCUGCAGGAGCCAAUCUCAAGCUUGUGUCAUAAGUGACUUUGAAGUGUGAUUGAAAAGAAGUUGGGGAGUAGGAAGAGACGGACUUUUUCUUUUUCUUUGCUCAGGCCAUGGCUGUACAGCCUCUUACACAAUAGGAUAAUUAUCCCUGGAUUCCCAGGCUGGCCGGCCUGAGUCUUCUUCCUUAGCAUCUCUAUCUCCUGGGGCCCAGUGUUUCCUUCUGUCUCUAUUCUUAGCCGACACAGCUUUCCCGUUCAGUUCCCAGGUCCCUCCUCAUCUUCCCCCGGUCUUUCUUCUCCCAGUAAAGUUAUUUUGGGGAGCACUUCCCAUGUUCUAUUCAGAUGUGAAUCUUCUUUCUCUUUAUUAAAAUAAGAUUUUCUUCUUCAUUUCAUCAUGCAUGCUUCUUCCCAGAAUAUAAUAAACCCUUGCCCUCCAGCCACAUAAUGUCUGGUUUGUG